rnacentral:rRNA from 1 species
UGAGGAAUAUUGGUCAAUGGGCGCGAGCCUGAACCAGCCAAGUCGCGUGAGGGAAGACUGCCCUAUGGGUUGUAAACCUCUUUUGUCGGGGAGCAACGACAUCUCGAGAGAUGUGAUGAGAGUACCCGAAGAAAAAGCAUCGGCUAACUCCGUGCC